GACGAACGCUGGCGGCGUGCUUAACACAUGCAAGUCGAACGGAAAGGCCUGCUUUCCCUUGUGGAUUGCGGGUACUCGAGUGGCGAACGGGUGAGUAACACGUGAGUGAUCUGCCCCCAACUUGGGUAUAAGCCUGGGAAACUGGGUCUAAUUCCCGAUAGGACUGCAGGGUGGUGCCUGUGGUGGAAAACGAUUUUCUAGUGGUUGGGGAUGAGCUCGCGGCCUAUCAGCUUGUUGGUGGGGUAAUGGCCUACCAAGGCGGCGACGGGUAGCGGCCUGAGAGGGUGGACGACCACAUUGGGACUGAGAUACGGCCCAGACUCCUACGGGAGGCAGCAGUGGGGAAUAUUGCACAAUGGGCGGAAGCCUGAUGCAGCGACGCCGCGUGGGGGAUGACGGCCUUCGGGUUGUAAACUCCUUUCGACCGCGAGGAAGCCACCUGGUUGGAAGGGUGGUGACGGUAGUGGUAGAAGAAGCACCGGCUAACUACGUG
rnacentral:rRNA from 1 species